GUACACUCCUACGGGAGGCAGCAGUGGGGAAUAUUGGACAAUGGGCGCAAGCCUGAUCCAGCCAUGCCGCGUGAGUGAUGAAGGCCCUAGGGUUGUAAAGCUCUUUCACCGGUGAAGAUAAUGACGGUAACCGGAGAAGAAGCCCCGGCUAACUUCGUGCCAGCAGCCGCGGUAAUACGAAGGGGGCUAGCGUUGUUCGGAUUUACUGGGCGUAAAGCGCACGUAGGCGGACUAUUAAGUCAGGGGUGAAAUCCCGGGGCUCAACCCCGGAACUGCCUUUGAUACUGGUAGUCUUGAGUUCGAGAGAGGUGAGUGGAAUUCCGAGUGUAGAGGUGAAAUUCGUAGAUAUUCGGAGGAACACCAGUGGCGAAGGCGGCUCACUGGCUCGAUACUGACGCUGAGGUGCGAAAGCGUGGGGAGCAAACAGGAUUAGAAACCCGAGUAGUCCCA
rnacentral:rRNA from 1 species